CAUAGGCAAAUUAACCGCCAUCUUUGUUGGGUUAAUUUGCAUACCCAUCCUGAUUGGCUGGUGGGCAUAGUGGAGUGACACCAAUUUGCAUGUUUCUCUUUUAUUAGUGUAGAUUACCUAGGAGGAGAGAGAAGUGUUCAUUUACUAAAACUUGGGUUAGUUAAUUAUGAUGCCGUAAUUUUUAUGGUAGUGACUGUACAUAAUAAAAUAAGAAUGUAUAAGUUACAAACUAGAAGUAGGUUUAAAUAUAUAUAAUUUAGUUCAGAGAGGAAGGGAGAGGAAGGGAGAAAUAUCAAUGAUGAGAGAGAAUCAUCAUGGCACAACCUGUCUUGCCCUGAAAUAGUGAGGGGAGGUGUGGCUAGGGUUGAGUAAAUGAUAAAGAGACAUUAGUCCUGGCAGAAAUGGGGCUGUGCAGGUCCCCAAAGCUCCUCCCUAUCCUCACAACAGCCCUGAGGUCACCUCAGAGUAAUGGUGUCUGUCCCAUUAUACAGAUGAAGAAACUGAGGCUCCCAGAAUGUCCUGGUUCACUCUGAAGGCAGUGUCAAAUCUGCUUUGCUCCCUUUUUAAAGUUGAUUUUUAGAGAGAGGGGGGGAGUGGGAGAGAAAGAGAAACAUCAAUGUGAGAGAGAAACAUCGAUUGGCUGCCUCCUGCAUCCACCCUGACUGGGAGGUCCGCAAUGUAGGUAAGUGCCCUGACAGGGAAUAGAACCCACAACCUUUUGUGUAUGGGACGACGCUCCAAUGAACUGAGCCACCCGGCCAGGGUUGCUCUGUUCACUUUUGAAUCUCUAGCACGUAGCACAGUGCAUAGCCAAGGCAAAUGUUCAGCUUUAUUUAUGAACGUAUCGAGUAGCUCACUGUCCCCACAAUAUUUAUGGUGUGAGGUGAAUUCCUAUAUUUCUAGUGCCAGUAAGAAAAUAUGCAAACAGCUAACAGUCUUUCCAGUCGGUGGGCAGUAAACACACUUGAUCAAUAUUUCUUCUUGUCAUUAGCAGUGUCUGCACAUUCUUCCUCCUCAGGCCCAGCUUCCUCCCCAGACCCCUGCUGGACCAACGUCCUCCUAAAACUACCCUCUGUGAAGACCAAACUGACAUCUUAAUUCUUAAUGGUGGCCGUAGUAGAUUGGUAGGUCCCCUAAGACAUGUAGCAAUUCAUUGGGGGAACUUCCUCUUUUUUGUGACAUUUUGGUGGCAAAUGCUAAGUGGAAUCUUAGCAUUUUGCUGGCAUAAGCUCAAAAGAAUAAGGCAACCAGAGGGGUGAGAGGAAAAGCACAGAGAUGAGCCCAGCCCACUCCCACCGCUUCUCCUGAUUUUUCCUUCCCAAUAGGAACCCAGCCUUUCCAAAGCCCCUCGGGGUUAGGUGCCCUGCUCGCUUAAGGCUGGGGACCUUGGCCUUGUGAGUUGGGGUCCCUUGCAGAGCUGAGCCCAGGUGUGCUCCAGAACCACGGACAGCGCCAACCCUCUGGCCAGGAGCUCCCCAGCUGGAUGGAUGGUCCCCUGGAGGCUGAACCUUGACCUGUCUCAUGUGGAGGAUGUUGGCCUCUCGAGUCCUCACUGCCUCAGUAGCCCCAGACUCCAUUUCUGUCUCCCGCCCCACGAUGCUGCUGAACUCAGCUCCGACUCCCAACCUCAGCCUUCCGGACCCUCCUGCAGAAUAUCAUCUGCCCUUUGCUCUGCGAUUCUGGCUGCUCUUUGAUGUAUUCAAAUAGACUGUUUUAUAUCUC